CCCUUAGAUGUUCUGGGCGGCCCGCGCACUACAAUGGCGCUUUCAGCGAGUUCCUAUGUUGAAUUUUCCUGGGUAUUCUUGGAAGCGGCGUCUUGACUUGGGAUAGAUCCUUGUAAUUGUUGGUUUUGAACGAGGAAUUCCUUGUAAUCGCGGUUGAUCAGCUCGCGUUGAAUACGUCCCUGCCCUUUGUACACACCGCCCGUCGCUACUACCGAUUGAAUGGUUUAGUGAGAUCUUCGGAUUGGCGCCACUGCGGCUCAGCAAUGGGCUCGGUGGAUGCCGAAAAGUUGAUCAAACUUGAUCAUUUAGAGGAAGUAAAAGUCGUAACA
rnacentral:rRNA from 1 species